rnacentral:rRNA from 1 species
UACGUAGGGUGCAAGCGUUGUCCGGAAUUAUUGGGCGUAAAGAGCUCGUAGGCGGUCUGUCGCGUCUGCUGUGAAAACCCGAGGCUCAACCUCGGGCCUGCAGUGGGUACGGGCAGACUAGAGUGCGGUAGGGGAGAUCGGAAUUCUUGGUGUAGCGGUGAAAUGCGCAGAUAAUCAGGAGGAACACCGGUGGCGAAGGCGGAUCUCUGGGCCGU